rnacentral:ncRNA from 1 species
AAAUGGUGGCUGCGACUGUUUAAUAAAAACACAGCACUCUGCAAACACGAAAGUGGACGUAUAGGGUGUGACGCCUGCCCGGUGCCGGAAGAUUAAUGAUGGGGUGCAAGCUCUUGAUUGAAGUCCCGGUAAACGGCGGCCGUAACUAUAACGGUCCUAAGGUAGCGAAAUUCCUUGUCGGGUAAGUUCCGACCUGCACGAAUGGCGUAACGAUGGCCACA